GAUAGAUGGAACCAUCUGGUAAAUGGAGAUGCUGUAAUGAAAGCCUUAGCUCUUAAGUAUAUAAAUGCAGAUGAAACUCUUUUAUCAUGUAAGUGGAAAAAGAGAAAGCCCAGCAAGUACUGUAUUUAAGCUGUUGCCUAUUUUCUGCAGCACAGAGAAUCAAAGCUGAAUUAGUCCAGAAGGUCACAUCCUGCUGCUGUUAUUGGAGGAAGAAAUACUGGGUGUGCUGGGGAAAAGAUAUAAGUAUUAGAAAUGGAAAAACUUUCAUCUUCUAAAUUACUUUAUUAGGCAUUUGGGGAGACUUUAGGGGCAGAAAUAAUUGGACCGAAUUGUAAAAGCAAUGCUGCUUCUGUAACUCUAAACCUGCAAGGGCAUUAGUUCUUUUGUUCAGCUUUUAAUCUUCUUUGUAAGAAAGAAAAUUGCUCUUUUACUAUAUAUGGAGUUUUACCGGAGCAAAAACACUCAGUAAUAGCCCCUCAAUUUGAGCUUCACCGUGAACAAAUAAAUAUACAUUAUGCAGAAUUUGCUGUCUGCGAGGAAGGCAGCCCUGUGCUUUCUCUGCCAUCUAACACUGCUCAGUCCCAGCCUCUGCCUGAAGGCUGUCAUCAUCUCAUGCCUGGAAUGGUCAGCAGCUGGGUACCUAAAGCUCCUUCCAGAAAGGCAGAAAUUGCAAAUGUGAAUCACCUGUAGGAGAGGAAGGAGUUGAGCUGGAAGUAUAAUGCCUUGGUAAACAUCCGAAAACUGUGUUAUGAUACAAAGGAGUCUCAUCCUAGCUAGAUUUUAAAUGAAUCAAUUCCGGUCUUCCAAAAUCCAGAGUUAUCAGGAAAGGGUUCAGAGCUGGUUGCAGAGAAGACAAAAAUAAUCUCUGAGGCAUUGGAACAGAAGUAAAAGAGACCAGAUUUAAUAUCCUUUGGAUAUGCUCAUGCACGACACAUCACAGAGAAAUGUGAUGAAGGAAGGAUGAGGGAUCAUUACUGAGUGACAUGGGUAAUGACCUACAAUGGGAGAUUAUGGUACUUUAAUGUUAAACAUGCUGUUGUUCAUCAAACGCUAGCGUAGAAUAACUUCCUUUCAAAGAGCCAAACAUUGAAGUUCCGGAUGGCAGCUGCAGGAGGCAGAUCUAGAAGCUGUGACACAGGCUGACUAGCUGUCUUUGGGCACCUCAAUUUGCCAUAAAGCCGAAUGAGGCAGUAGAGGAAAACAGCUUGAGAUUUGUCUCACCAACUGCAGUCUCCACUUCAAGGUAGGACGACCUACGUGCUAAACUCUAUGCUCUGUAAUAACCAGAUGCUAUUACAUAUCCAGAGUAACUACUUGGUAUGUAAAUUUCUACAUCACAAACUCCUACUCUUUUUAGAUGAGUUCCAUCGUUCCUGUCCAACAGUUCUCAUGUCUACGUUGAGUGGUUUUUAACAGUGCCUUAAUUACAGAGCUCUGAACUCUCUUGGCCUGCUCGCUGUUCUAUAACACAGAUAAUAAUUUCUAGGAUGAAAUCUCUUUUUCUGAAUAUAUUUAACAUCUUUUAUAAGAGUCUAAAAUAGAAACGCUGAGAACAUUAACUUAGAGCACUUUUCAAGUUCAUCUUACUUGCAGUGCAUUAAAGUGAAGUGACAAGUGAGGUGUGACGUGAAGUAAUUAUACUGAUUGUGUUGUAUGUGCUCUGCAGGAGCUGAAUGAUUUGCUGAGGAUAUUAAUUUCAAAAGCCAGACAGCAAGAGAUCAGCUGAGAUGAAAGAUCACUGCAAAGUGACCUCAGACCAGGGGAAAAGAAAAGGAGAAGAGGAGGAUGUGAUUCAGAACAGGAAUUCGGUGCUGUACAGUCUAGCAGUGAACCACAUCAGAUGCUUUCUGACACCAAAGUGAACAUUUUGGAAAUGGAUCUUUUGUCUCAACCACCAUGGUGCUGAUAUACUUCCAACAAAGCCAACUUGGACAAGAGAUUUAGCUUUUUGACAGAUAAUAUAGGAGAAAGGAUCAUCUUGGUCACUGAUUAAAGUUCUAUCCUUUUAUGACACCAUUAACUGCAUCAGUACUCCAAUAUCUGCAAUACAGGCACCAUCUGCGGGCCUGUUGGUGAGAAGCUUGAUGUGUGUUUCGUUGGACCAUGAUAUAAAGCACAACUGAAUGGUUUAGAUGUAUAGUGCCAUGAUUAUGAAACUUGAAUUACAAAGACAGAAAACAAAUCAGAAGAACAAGGAGAGAAUUAAACACUUUUGAUCAGCCUUUCUCCUGCACUUACUAUUUAAUUUAAACCAGAGCUGUUUCUUCUUGUAGUAGUCAUUCAUCUUCAAGAAGUGAAAAUACACUUGCAAAACUAAUAAAUGUGAAUCUAUUUGCAAAGAUAUGUAUUUAUGCGCCUG
ensembl:lncRNA